rnacentral:rRNA from 1 species
CUGCAGCCCGAGUAGUGAUCGUUAUUAUUGGGCCUAAAACGUCCGUAGCCUGUUUGGUAAAUGCUUGGGUAAAUCGUGUGGCUUAACCAUACGAAUACCGGGUAGACUGCCAGACUUGAGACCGGGAGAGGUUGGAGGUACUCCUGGGGUAGAGGUGAAAUUCUGUAAUCCUGGGGGGACCACCAGUGGCGAAGGCGUCCAACCAGAACGGGUCUGACGGUGAGGGACGAAGCCCUGGGGCGCAAACCGGAUUAGAGACCCGUGUAGUCC